CCUACGGGUGGCAGCAGUGAGGAAUAUUGGUCAAUGGCCGGAAGGCUGAACCAGCCAAGCCGCGUGAAGGACGAAGGUGCCAAGCAUUGUAAACUUCUUUUGUCAAGGGACAAAAUCAGGCUCGAGAGCCUGACCGAGGGUACUUGAUGAAAAAGCAUCGGCUAACUCCGUGCCAGCAGCCGCGGUAAUACGGAGGAUGCGAGCGUUAUCCGGAUUUAUUGGGGUUAAAGGGUGCGUAGGCGGACUGUUAAGUCAGCGGUAAAAGCCCGGGGCGCAACCCCGGCGAGCAGUUGAAGCGGGCGGUCUUGAGAUGUCGAGAGGUAUGCGGAAUGCGCAGUGUAGCGGUGAAAUGCUGAGAUAGUGCGCAGAACUCCGAGUGCGAAGGCAGCAUACCGGCGGCGAUCUGACGCUGAGGCACGAAAGCGUGGGUAUCGAACAGGAUUAGAUACCCUAGUAGUC
rnacentral:rRNA from 1 species